AGUGAACGCUGGCGGCAGGCCUAACACAUGCAAGUCGAACGGCAGCACAGCAGUAGCAAUACUGUGGGUGGCGAGUGGCGGACGGGUGAGGAAUACAUCGGAAUCUGCCUAGUCGUGGGGGAUAACGUAGGGAAACUUACGCUAAUACCGCAUACGACCUACGGGUGAAAGCGGGGGAUCGCAAGACCUCGCGCGAUUAGAUGAGCCGAUGUCCGAUUAGCUAGUUGGCGGGGUAAUGGCCCACCAAGGCGACGAUCGGUAGCUGGUCUGAGAGGAUGAGCAGCCACACUGGAACUGAGACACGGUCCAGACUCCUACGGGAGGCAGCAGUGGGGAAUAUUGGACAAUGGGCGCAAGCCUGAUCCAGCCAUGCCGCGUGGGUGAAGAAGGCCUUCGGGUUGUAAAGCCCUUUUGUCCGGAAAGAAAAGCACUGGAUUAAUACUUCGGUGUUCUGACGGUACCGGAAGAAUAAGCACCGGCUAACUUCGUGCCAGCCGCCGCCGUAAUAC
rnacentral:rRNA from 1 species